GUAGUCCAUGCCGUAAACGUUGGGCACUAGGUGUGGGGGACAUUCCACGUUUUCCGCGCCGUAGCUAACGCAUUAAGUGCCCCGCCUGGGGAGUACGGCCGCAAGGCUAAAACUCAAAGGAAUUGACGGGGCCCGCACAAGCGGCGGAGCAUGCGGAUUAAUUCGAUGCAACGCGAAGAACCUUACCAAGGCUUGACAUGAACCGGAAAGACCUGGAAACAGGUGCCCGCUUGCGGUCGGUUUACAGGUGGUGCAUGGUUGUCGUCAGCUCGUGUCGUGAGAUGUUGGGUUAAG
rnacentral:rRNA from 1 species